AGCCACCUUAAGCCUUCAAUCAUUGUGUCUUCUCUCUCUCUCUCUCUCUCUCUAGAACGUGUGUUGUGUUUUCCUCUCUGUAUCUCUACUUCUCUACUAUUCAUAUAUUGUUGAGUUGAAGAUUUUUUGGAGGAGAAACAAAAAGCAAUCUCUUAUUGUUUGCUCGUAAUAUUAAGAGUUGGUUCUUUCCAAAAACAGAGAAAGGAGAUCAGAGAGAGAGAAAAAAAAAAAGAGACCAAAGUUUGAGUCUAGCAUCAGGAAGAGGAAGAGAAUUCAGCUAGCAAAGUUUGUGAAAGCUGAAAAUUAAGGCUCUGCUUGGAUAAAAAGCGUUUUGAGGUUUGAAUAUUUUUUUCUUUUGGAAAUGGCUGCGGAAGAGAAGGUUGAAGAAGGAGAUUGGGAGAAAGAGCGAUAGAGGAUACGCACAACAAAAAAAAAAACCCAAAUUAGAAGAAAUUCAGAAGAAGAAAAUAACCAAAAAGGAAAUCUUGGGUUUAGUUUUUGAUCUGCUUCUGCAGUUUCUGCGGGUUUAACAAUAAUGGCAAUGUCCGCAACUAUCGUCAGCACCGACACGAUUGUUCUACCGGCCGCGGCCGCGGAAACUCAGCCACAACAAACCACAACAAAACUCGUUUCCCCCAUCGAAAUCGAGUUCGUACAAUGCGACUGCUGUGGAUUAACAGAAGAGUGCACACCUGCGUACAUUGAGCACGUGAGGGAGAGAUAUCAGGGCCAUUGGAUUUGUGGGUUGUGUGCAGAAGCUAUAAAAGAUGAGAUUGUUAGGUCGCAGAAGAGGCUGAUCAGCACGGAAGAAGCCAUGGCCACACACAUGAACUUCUGCAAAAAGUUUAAGGACUCAGGGCCUCCUCCAAACCCUACCAUUCACUUGAUAUCCGCCAUGAGACAGAUUCUCCGGCGCAGUUUGGAUUCUCCGAGGGGGGGUUUGAGAUCAACUCCAAGUAGUCCUACAAAGAUAAAUGCAGGCAAAGGGCUCACAAGGUCUGAGAGUUGCUUCCCGACUCUGACUGGUUGAGGAUAUUUGAUUACUGGAGAAUAUAUUGGGAAUAAGGAUCAAAAGUUGGGAAAAAGUUUGGCGAAUUUGCAAUUUUAUUUGCUGAAAAUAAAAACCCAGAAAGGAAAAGCAAGGAAUUUAAAUGUUAAGGGUAGAUGUUUAAUUUUAGUCGUAAUUUAAUUAAUUAGUAUUGAAAUACAGAACCUUUUUUUCCUUUAAUUUUCUUUUGGUUAUGUUGCUAGAAUUUUGAUAUUUAUGAAACUUGAAGGUGAACUUGUCUA